UUUCUGCUCAUUUAGAGGUGCAAAGGAAAACAUUUAGAACUUUCCAGAUGAAUAAAUUGCAUUUCAUCUGAAUGAACAUCUAACUUUGGAGAUGGAGAGAACAUUCUUUCGUAUUGUUGUAGAUAUGCCUAGUAUAAUAUUGGUAUAAUUAAUUUUUCAGCUACAAUGCAGAUUCCUGGGUCAGUGCAAAAGACCUUGUUUAUUUAGAAGUGAUUAUCUGAGAAAGUGGCUCAUAAGUCUUAGAUUCCUGGAAUGCACAGUCUGGUCUGCAAAUUAAAAUAGCUAUUUAAAUUCCCUUUAUGAAAAUUAUGCCUGAUAGGGCACUUCCAUGUGCAGUGAGGUUUGUAUUUGCACAUCUAGAGCAUCCAGGAAAUCAGCGAAGUUGCGUUUUGUGUCUUUAGAUAUGCUACAGUUGAUAAACCCUAAGAUUCAGAUAUUAACUAUUGGAUAAGCUCUUGCAUUUCCCAUAACUUUAGCUUUGAAGCCAUUCAUUACAUUAAUACUAAGGAAAGAAUGUCAGAAAAUCCAAAGAGAGAGAAUUCACAGUUAUGAUUUUUGGACAUAUAAUUGGAAAGAAGUCAGAUUUGGCUUUUACAAUUAGUGCCAUAUAAUGUCACACAAAGUAUUUCCUGCAGUGUGCUCAAAGAGGUCAAUUUGUGAUUUAUUUGCAAGUCAUAGUUCUGAAAUUACUGACUUGUGUGUGUAACAAUUUAGCUUUAACUUGGGCACUUAAUUUAGCAUUAAAUAUAGCUCCUCUUCAAUAUUGAUCCUUGCCCUGAACAAGAUAUCAUUUCAUAAACCCAAUUAAACAUGGUGCCUACUGUGGUUUAAAUACCAAGACAGAUUAAAUGUAUUGUCCAGUUUCACAGAUCAGCAAUGCUUCUCUUCCUGUAUCACUAGCUCAUGAUUAACAUAAGGGACCAGUCUGUGCCAGUGGAUGGGCCAGAAUUAAAAGAGGAUAAAUAUUGAUGUCCUGCCUGAAAGAAAAUUGGGCACCCAAGGUGUCAGAGAGUUGUCUGAUAUACUGUGACAUGAAUGUCCCAUAUGUAUAAAUUGCAGCCUUUUUAAAAUAAGGUAGAAUUGUUUGUGGAAGAUUAAAAACUCUCUUUCUAAAUUGUUGAAUUAAAAUAUUUAGUUAAUAAAUAAAUCACUGCUAUUUUCAUCAAUAUUGGAGUUGUUUCUUCAAGUUUGUGUGUUUUCUCAAUUAGAAAAAAAGUCUAAUUUGUUUAAAUAGUGAGAAGUCAACAUUGAACUGUUGUCUACUCAAUAGCCACAAUUCCUUAUUUCUUGUUUACAAUGACCAUAGAUUGUUUAUGUUUGUAUUGUUGCAACAAGUUCACAGACAAUGGAUUCCUCUCCCAAUCUGGGAGGAUGAGCCAUGGUUAGUCUAGGCCAUGAAUAUUGUGGUAGAUUGUAUUGUGUGUUCAUAAUUCUUUGUUCUCUGGCCAGGUGCAGUGUCUCACGCCUGUAAUCCUAGCACUUCGGGAAACUGAGGCGGGCAGAUUGCCAGAGCUCAGGAGUUCGAGACUGGCCUGGGCAACAUGGCAAAACCCCUCUCUACUAAAAAUACAAAAAAUUAGCUGGGUAUGCUGGUGCGCACCUGUAAUCCCAGCUACUUGGGAGCCUGAGGUGUGAGAAUCACUUGAACCCAGAAGGCGAAGAAUGCAGUGAGCCAAGAUUGUGCCACUGCACUCCAGCCUGGAUGACAGAGCGAGACUCUGUCUCAGAAAAAAAUAAUUAAAAAAGAUGAUUCUUGUUCCCUCCCCAUCCUUACCUUUUUUUAAUGAGGAAAGAGAAUAUUUCCCUGUAUCACUGACUUUGGGCUUGGCUAUGUGACUGCUCUACCCAACAGAAUUUGGGUAGGUUAAUAGUAAUAGAAGUAACUAAGCAGAACUUUAAAGAAGCUUCUCCUCUUCAACUCUUGCUUAUAAAGCAUUAUAAAAAUCAAUAUAUAUAAAGCAUUAUAAAAAUCAAAUGCCCUAAGUAGUCUGUGUCCUUCAACAUGGGUCCAGGAAUGAGAGACACCUGGAGCACACCUGACUCUCAUCUGUAGUCUAAGGUAGAACUGCUGCAACCAAUUCACAAAAUUCAUGAGCAAGGAGUAAAUGCUUGCUGUUAUCGGUCAGUAACUUCUUGUCAUGUUUCUUAAGCAUUAUUGGAGCAAAAGCAAACUAAUACAAAUGUUAAUGUAAUUCCUUUGCUUGUGAUUGAUUUAGAGAUGAAUAUUUGUCUUGUUUCCAGCUAAUACAAUGUAUUUAGGAAGAAUGCCAAAGGAGGGAGCUUAUUAGUAGGAUUUUGACCUCUAAUGAAAAUGAUGGCCAAAUAUAUGAAAUUUUUUCUUUCUUUGGUUUUUAUUGUUCAAAGACAUAAUUAUUUAAGUUGUGUUAGUUGUGUGUGAUCUUUUAACUGUGAGGAAUUACAUAGAAUGAAAAUGGAAUGUGCUGUGGUGGCAGAACAGAAAGAAGUUGGGUGAUUGACACCAUUGAGCUGCUGCAGGAAAUCUGUUAGUCUCCAUUUCCAGGGGUCU
rnacentral:lncRNA from 1 species